CCUACGGGUGGCAGCAGUGGGGAAUAUUGCUCAAUGGGCGAAAGCCUGAAGCAGCGACGCCGCGUGAGGGAUGAAGGUCUUCGGAUCGUAAACCUCUUUCAGCAGGGAAGAAAGGUCACUGUGCUAAUAAGCAGUGUAUUGACGGUACCUGCAAAGGAAGCACCGGCUAACUCCGUGCCAGCAGCCGCGGUAAUACGGAGGGUGCGAGCGUUAAUCGGAAUUACUGGGCGUAAAGCGCUCGUAGGCGGUAUGUCAAGUCAGAGGUGAAAUCCCCGGGCUCAACGUGGGAACUGCCUUUGAAACUGGCUAGCUGGAGUGCGUGGGAGGGUAGUGGAAGUCCAGGUGGAGCAGUGAAAUCCGUAGAUAUCUGGAAGAACAUCGGUGGCGAAGGCAGCUUUCUGGCACGUAACUGACGCUGAGGCGCGAAAGCGUGGGUAGCAAACAGGAUUAGAUACCCGAGUAGUC
rnacentral:rRNA from 1 species